GACGAACGCUGGCGGCGUGCUUAACACAUGCCAGUCGAACGGAAAAGCCCUGCUUUUGUGGGGUGCUCGGGUGGCGAACGGAUGAGUAACGCGUGAGUAACCUGCCCUUGACUUUGGUAUAACUUCAGGAAACUGAGGCUAAUCCCAGAUAGGAGCUCCUGCUGCAUGGUGGGGGUGGGAAAGUUUCGGUGGUUGGGGAUGGACUCGCGGCGUAUUAGCCUGUUGGUGGGGUAGGGGGUUACCCAGGCUUUGACGGGUAGCCGGCCUGAGAGGGGGGACGGCCCGAUUGGGACUGGGAUAAGGGCCAGAAUUCUGAGGGAGUGAGCAGUGGGGGAAAGUGUAAAACGGGGGGGACGCGUGAGGGGCAAAGCCCCGUGGGGUGUGAAGGCCUUUCGGUUGUAAAGCGGGUUUGCCUGGGACGAAGGGUGGGUGACGGUAAUUGGGAAAGAAGCACCGGCUAACUACGUG
rnacentral:rRNA from 1 species